UACGGAGGGUGCGAGCUUUGUCCGGAAUCACUGGGCGUAAAGGGCGCGUAGGCGGCCUGAUAAGUAGGGGGUGAAAUCCUGCGGCUUAACCGCAGGGCUGCCUUCUAAACUGUCAGGCUAGAGCACAGUAGAGGCAGGUGGAAUUCCCGGUGUAGCGGUGGAAUGCGUAGAGAUCGGGAAGAACAUCAGUGGCGAAGGCGGCCUGCUGGGCUGUUGCUGACGCUGAGGCGCGACAGCGUGGGGAGCAAACAGG
rnacentral:rRNA from 1 species